GCCCGCGUAGCUCAACCGGCAGAGCACCUGCUUUGUAAGCAGGGGGUUGGGGGUUCAAGUCCCUCCGCGGGCU
rnacentral:tRNA from 1 species